UACGUAGGCAGCAAGCGUUGUUCGGAGUUACUGGGCGUAAAGGGUGUGUAGGCGGUUCCCUAAGUUUGGUGUGAAAUCUCCCGGCUUAACCGGGAGGGUGCGCCGAAAACUGGGGAGCUAGAGUAUGGGAGAGGAAAGUGGAAUUCCUGGUGUAGCGGUGAAAUGCGUAGAUAUCAGGAGGAACACCUGCGGUGUAGACGGCUUUCUGGACCAUCACUGACGCUGAGACACGAAAGCGUGGGUAGCAAACAGG
rnacentral:rRNA from 1 species